CAAACGACUCUCGGCAACGGAUAUCUCGGCUCACGCAUCGAUGAAGAACGUAGCAAAAUGCGAUACUUGGUGUGAAUUGCAGAAUCCCGUGAACCAUCGAGUUUUUGAACGCAAGUUGCGCCCGAAGCCUUUUGGYUGAGGGCACGUCUGCCUGGGCGUCACAC
rnacentral:rRNA from 1 species